AUUGAACGCUGGCGGCAGGCUUAACACAUGCAAGUCGAGCGGAGAGAGGUAGCUUGCUACUGAUCUUAGCGGCGGACGGGUGAGUAAUGCUUAGGAAUCUGCCUAUUAGUGGGGGACAACAUUUCGAAAGGAUGCUAAUACCGCAUACGUCCUACGGGAGAAAGCAGGGGAUCACUUGUGACCUUGCGCUAAUAGAUGAGCAUAAGUCGGAUUAGCUAGUUGGUGGGGUAAAGGCCUACCAAGGCGACGAUCUGUAGCGGGUCUGAGAGGAUGAUCCGCCACACUGGGACUGAGACACGGCCCAGACUCCUACGGGAGGCAGCAGUGGGGAAUAUUGGACAAUGGGGGGAACCCUGAUCCAGCCAUGCCGCGUGUGUGAAGAAGGCCUUAUGGUUGUAAAGCACUUUAAGCGAGGAGGAGGCUCUUCUGGUUAAUACCCAGAAUGAGUGGACGUUACUCGCAGAAUAAGCACCGGCUAACUCUGUGCCAGCCGCCGCUGUAAAAC
rnacentral:rRNA from 1 species